UACGUAGGGAGCGAGCGUUGUCCGGAAUUACUGGGUGUAAAGGGAGCGUAGGCGGGAAUGCAAGUUGGAUGUGAAAACUCCGGGCUUAACCCGGAGACUGCAUCCAAAACUGUAGUUCUUGAGUGGAGUAGAGGCAAGCGGAAUUCCGAGUGUAGCGGUGAAAUGCGUAGAUAUACGGAGGAACACCAGUGGCGAAGGCGGCCAGCUGGGCUUUUACUGACGCUGAGGCUCGAAAGCGUGGGGAGCAA
rnacentral:rRNA from 1 species